GCGGGCGCGGGGCCGCCGAGUGCGCGUGCGCGCGCCGGUCCGGGCGGCGGGGUGCCCGGGCGCGCAGUUUGCUAAGGCUGGGAGCGGCUGAGCUGGGGGCGCCCGCCUACGGCAGUCCAACUGCUGUGACCCCACCAGCGGUAGCCUUUUUUCCUGCACAGCUUGCAGGGAAGUUGGGCACGAGAAGGGCAGUCCCUUAGCUGGAGGUGAGGGACAUCGCCCCGACCGGAACGUAAUGCCCAAGAUUAAGCCUGAGCGCUGAAAAGUGGGACCUGGGCCGUUCCUCUCCAAAGACUGUUCGGAGGAGACUUUGAAAAGUCGCCCGCCUUUCUCCGCUGCUGUUUGACACUCUGUCGAAGUCCAAAUUAGAAAAGUCCCCAGAACGUACAUGGGAGAAAAAAAGAGCGGCUUUCUUUUUAAACAGUUUUAUUUCUGCAGACGCAUAAGCGAGAUAGUUUAUGUUUGCGAAAUGACACUCUGAUUCAGCUCAGACACAGCUUGAUUAUUUUCUGGCUUGGGAUGCCAUUGACUGAAAACAGGUUGUCUGAUGUAAACAUUCAGCAAAUAUUUGAGCGCCUGCCGGGUGUCCGGCCAGCACUGUUAGCCUUUGGCGGAGCCCGAGGUGGAUAGGGGCAGACAACACACGGUCGCUGUCGCUUCUGGCCUCCAGUGGGCGUCACAUAGCAGCACCUGCAGCCUGCCUCAUCUGAGCAGAUUUCUCAGUGCCAGAACCACCUAGCAGGUUUUUUUGUGCCUCUGUUACUUAUGGCCUUAGUUCCAACAGAGAGGAAAAACGGUGCAUUCAACAAGUGUGAGAAAUUUGAUGGAAAUAAUCAAAAGCAAGUUGGAUUGUGAAGUGCAAGGAAGAAGAAAACUUAGGGGCACAUUUUGACCUGUGUAUUCAAAGCAUCCUGAGGAAAGUUCUGCAUUAAUUCAAGAUACGUUUGCAUAUGUGAUUAUUAUGGUCUUCAGAGAAGCAGAUAUUUAACCUGGAGAGGAUGUUUGUAUGUUAAAUGUUGAUAGAGCCACAAACAAUGUGAGAUUUUUGUGGCAACUGUUGAAAUCUAGGAAUAAUGUUCAUGAAUAGAUAAAGCAAUAAAAAGCCAGAGCCUUUUUUCCCCUCCAGCUUUCUUAGUUUUUGUACUUAUCGACCUUAUUGUUAAACACAUUUUCUACCAGUCAAUAAUAUGUAUUGAGUGC
rnacentral:lncRNA from 1 species